ACGGAAGGCAGCAGUGGGGAAUAUUGGGCAAUGGGCGAAAGCCUGACCCAGCGACGCCGCGUGAGGGAAGACGGUCUUCGGAUUGUAAACCUCUUUCAGCAGGGAAGAUAAUGACGGUACCUGCAGAAGAAGCCACGGCUAACUACGUGCCAGCAGCCGCGGUAAUACGUAGGUGGCAAGCGUUAUCCGGAUUUACUGGGUGUAAAGGGCGCGUAGGCGGGAAGGCAAGUCAGGUGUGAAAUCUAUGGGCUUAACCCAUAAACUGCAUUUGAAACUGUCUUUCUUGAGUGCUGGAGAGGUAGACGGAAUUCCUUGUGUAGCGGUGAAAUGCGUAGAUAUAAGGAAGAACACCAGUGGCGAAGGCGGUCUACUGGACAGUAACUGACGCUGAGGCGCGAAAGCGUGGGGAGCAAACAGGAUUAGAUACCCUGGUA
rnacentral:rRNA from 1 species